AUAAAAUCAAACCUAGGUUUGGUAUUGGGAGAAGUGGCAAUGCCUCUCUCCUUUAAGCUAUUGGCGACACUAUUUCAGCUUGUAAGACGUAGUAAGUAAUUUCUCGUUAAAGCUUCUGUAUAUAGAUGUCUGCCAACUGAAUAUUUUAUUUUAGC
rnacentral:misc_RNA from 1 species